UACUCCCUCCGUCCCAUUUUAUCUGUCUUACUUUCCUUUUUUAGCUGUCCCAAAAUAUUGUCCACUUUCUAAAAAUAAACACUAUCACUUUUUAUAUUUUCCAAAAUUACCCUUACAUUUCAAAAUGUUAAUAUAAUAUACAUUUGGUUUUUCUAGAAAUGGGAGCGAGCCUACUUUAUGCAAUGCAC